AUAAAUCUUAGCCCUUAAAACCGCUUAAUCGUGCGGUUUAAAAUAAAUCCGCUGCCCAAUUUUAAUUACCACAAAUAUUGUUCGAAAUUACAUUUUAAAUAGAAUAAGGGCAUUUUGGUAUCUGUGCAAAUCAUUAAAAACUGCAACCACCGGAUUUUACUCUCAUUUACCGCAUUUCAUCGCCCCCAACAUUUACUGCCAACCUAAUCGAUUCAAAAUCCGAUUUGAGGUUCCGAGGAGAUUUCGCCGCAACAAAUCCAAUUGAAGGUGGGUAAUCGUCCGAUUUGAGGUUCCAAGGAGAUUUCGACGCAACAAAUCCGAUUGAAGGUGGAAUCGUCGGCGACUUGUUCGUAAAGGGUUAGGUUUUGAAGAUCUGCUGAAAUCGAACGGACCAACUUCGAUUGCAGAAGAAGAAAAAAAACGGUCAUCGCUUCAAUCGUCGGCAUCUGCGACGAACGCGGCAGUCGCUCGCUGACUUUACGUGACGGGCUUGUCGAAGCACACGACUGCUGCCGCUGCUGGUUCGAGCGCGCAUCCUGGCGCCGCAGCACCCCGUGCUUGCUGCCCAUCUCGCUGAUCAAGACAACCUAUUGCGAGAUAUCAUUGUCGUCAUCCGAUCCGAGCCCCAAGACGUUGGAAACAUACUGAAGGCAGAUGAACGGCUGAUGCUGGUGGUGGAGCACGCAAGCGGUGCAGAUCGCGGAUAAUACGCCCAGGUGAGGGACGCAGUGGACGAGGAUCGGGGCCAACAAACAAAAUGCAUAAUUCCCGAUCCGCCAUGAAAGUGGAUUUUUUGGCAUAGUUCAAGAUUUUCGAGAAUGAGGAAUGAUUGUGAGAGUAGGAGGAUGAAGAAAGAUCCCUUUUUCUUUUCCAUUUUUCUAUUUUAUUUUAUAAAUUUAUUUUAUUAAUUUGUGAACAAAUUUUCUAUAGUUGAUAGAGACGAAUGAAGAGAUUUUUCAUAAGUAUGAUUUU